UGGCUUAAUCAUGUUUGUCUUUGUGUAAUUAAGGUAUUUGCCAAAGCUGGUACUAGUACCUUAUCAAGUCACCUGUGUUUGUGUAAUUAAGGUAUUUGCCAAAGUUGGUACUGGUACCUUAUCAAGUCACUUGUGUUUGUGUAAUUAAGGUAUUUGCCAAAGAUGGUACCAGUACCUUAUCAAGUCACUUGUGUUUGUGUAAUUAAGGUAUUUGCCAAAGCCGGCACUGGUACCUUAUCAAGUCAAAUGUGCAGCAAGCUGAAAUAACAUGCUUGUGAUGUAUAUUCCAUGUUCGCUAUUAUGCAAGCAACAAAAUUACAUCUUCCUUUUUUAUUUCCG
rnacentral:lncRNA from 1 species